rnacentral:snRNA from 1 species
AAGCCCUGGUGUCUCCUCAUUUGCGGAUAAAUCUUUCGCCUUUUACUAAAGAUUUCCCUGGGGAGGCACGAUUUUUGUGCGUCG